AUCUCCACGACUAUAGGGGUUAUGGCUAUGCUCUUGUUACCAGAUGAGAUAUCAUUUGAUCCUGUGAUUCUUCAGGACAAGAUCUUGAUGCCAUCCACACCCAGUACAUGACGAAGGUUUUCUGGGAUCCACAGUGGAAGGCAUCAAGGCGUGAGAUGUUGGCUGGACAGAUGUACCUGUACACCACACCGACCUCUGCUUUUACAUGGAUGGCGGAUUACUAUCAUGUUCUGUAAAGGUUUCAUUAUAGCAAAACAGAGCACCUGUGACAGUGGAAUCUGUAGCUGUAACGUAGUCAGUUAAAAGUAGUCAGGUGUAAAGUAGUCACAGAGAGAACUUUUUUUUUUUAAGUUUCAAACUUUUUUCUCUUUCACAAAAAACACUGCAGUUACAGCUUUUCAAAUUCUUCAUUGGAGGUGUACAAAUAAUUUUCUUUUU